UCUGUGGCAGGAAAUAGCUUUCCUUCUUCAUUCAGGUGAUCAGGGAAUUUGUGCCUUUUCUUUGUCAGAUGCCCACCUUGUGCCAUUUUGCAUGUGAGUUUUGAAGACACCAGGGACCAGCUGCUUCUUCGAACUUCACUGACAACUGGAAGGACUUGACAGUGAGACUCCAUCUAUAGGCAAGAAGAUUGAACUUGAUAAUUUUCAUCUUCAUGCUUCUGCCAAGACUUUGUACAAGGCCUAGGAUCUGUACCAGCAUUGUGGAUAUUCUGUCUUCUGCUUACUUUACAUAUUUGGGCCAAUGUUGCAACUCUAAGAGCUACACAGUUCACAUUUUUUAAACUGAAGAUGAAAUUUGCAAGCAUUUUUCUGUAAAAAGAGAUAAAAAUAAAAAUCCAUUCUAUCAAAG
rnacentral:lncRNA from 14 species